UACGAAGGGGGCUAGCGUUGCUCGGAAUUACUGGGCGUAAAGGGAGCGUAGGCGGACAGUUUAGUCAGAGGUGAAAGCCCAGGCUCAACCUUGGAAUUGCCUUUGAUACUGACUGUCUUGAGUAUGGGAGAGGUUAGCGGAACUCCGAGUGUAGAGGUGAAAUUCGUAGAUAUUCGGAAGAACACCAGUGGCGAAGGCGGCUAACUGGCCCAUUACUGACGCUGAGGCUCGAAAGCGUGGGGAGCAAACAGGG
rnacentral:rRNA from 1 species